rnacentral:rRNA from 1 species
GAUGAACGCUGGCGGCGUGCCUAACACAUGCAAGUCGAACGAGAUGCGUAUUGGAAAGCUUCGGCCGGAAGAUACGUUAUCUAGUGGCGGACGGGUGAGUAACACGUGGGUAACCUGCCUUAUGGAGGGGGAUAACAGAGAGAAAUCACUGCUAAUACCGCAUAAGCACACAGUACCGCAUGGUACAGGGUGAAAAGAUUUAUCGCCAUAAGAUGGACCCGCGUCUGAUUAGCCAGUUGGCAGGGUAAAAGCCUACCAAAGCAACGAUCAGUAGCCGAUCUGAGAGGAUGACCGGCCACAUUGGGACUGAGACACGGCCCAAACUCCUACGGGAGGCAGCAGUGGGGAAUAUUGCACAAUGGGGGAAACCCUGAUGCAGCGACGCCGCGUGAGUGAAGAAGUAUUUCGGUAUGCUAAGCUCUAUCAGCAGGGAAGAUAAUGAC